GAUGAACGCUGGCGGCGUGCCUAAUACAUGCAAGUCGAGCGAACGGACGAGAAGCUUGCUUUUCUGAUGUUAGCGGCGGACGGGUGAGUAACACGUGGAUAACCUACCUAUAAGACUGGGAUAACUUCGGGAAACCGGAGCUAAUACCGGAUAAUAUUUUGAACCGCAUGGUUCAAAAGUGAAAGACGGUCUUGCUGUCACUUAUAGAUGGAUCCGCGCUGCAUUAGCUAGUUGGUAAGGUAACGGCUUACCAAGGCAACGAUGCAUAGCCGACCUGAGAGGGUGAUCGGCCACACUGGAACUGAGACACGGUCCAGACUCCGACGGUAGGCAGCAGUAGGGAAUCUUCCGGAAUGGGCGAAAGCCUGACGGAGCAACGCCGCGUGAGUGAUGAAGGUCUUCGGAUCGUAAAACUCUGUUAUUAGGGAAGAACAUAUGUGUAAGUAACUGUGCACAUCUUGACGGUACCUAAUCAGAAAGCCACGGCUAACUACGUG
rnacentral:rRNA from 1 species